rnacentral:rRNA from 1 species
CCUACGGGUGGCAGCAGUAGGGAAUAUUGCUCAAUGGGGGAAACCCUGAAGCAGCAACGCCGCGUGGAGGAUGAAGGUUUUCGGAUUGUAAACUCCUUUUGUUAGAGAAGAUAAUGACGGUAUCUAACGAAUAAGCACCGGCUAACUCCGUGCCAGCAGCCGCGGUAAUACGGAGGGUGCAAGCGUUACUCGGAAUCACUGGGCGUAAAGAGCGCGUAGGCGGGAUAGCAAGUCAGAUGUGAAAUCCUAGGGCUUAACCAUAGAACUGCAUUUGAAACUGUUAAUCUAGAGUAUGGGAGAGGUAGGUGGAAUGCUUGGUGUAGGGGUAAAAUCCGUAGAUAUCAAGAGGAAUACUCAUUGCGAAGGCGACCUGCUAGAACAUAACUGACGCUGAUGCGCGAAAGCGUGGGGAGCAAACAGGAUUAGAUACCCUUGUAGUC